rnacentral:SRP_RNA from 1 species
CCGCACAGCCGGGGAGAUAGCGGUGCCCUGUACCUGCAAUCCGCUACAGCAGGGGUGAUGUUCUGCCGCGGGUACUUCCUUGUGAAGCUGCCCUGGUAAGCGGCGCUGACGUUUUGGUCUCGCGCAAUGGGACUCUCUGAACCAUGUCAGGGCAGGAAUGCAGCAGCAUUAAGGAGAACCUUCCAUGUGCCGCGAGGGAGCCGGGACCGAGCUGGCUGCCAGGGUAACGUUUAUGAGACGUAUUCAAAGCAGAGCGUGCGG